ACAGAUUACUAUAUUUAAUUAAAACUUUGUGAGAUAGUUACUGUAAUACAGAGUAUUUCUAACUUCAUUCACCUUUGUUUCAUUAAAGAAUCAGUUUUGCAAAUAAUUACUUUAUCUACUUACUAGGUAGAGAAAGCGACAAGUUUUGUGUAUUACCACAAUGUAAAUCCUAUACUGUAUCUAUUUUUACUAAAUAACUGCAACUUCUUAAGGUUACAUUUCUUUAGUAAAUGUAAGGAAUAAAUGUAGAGUAACUGAGAUUUUAAAAUACACAAUGCAAAUCUAAUACUUUAAUAAGCACUUGAUAGUGUACCACACACUAAGUUUCUAUGUGAAAAUCAUAAGGGGAAAGUUUAAAGUGGAUAAAAUACAACAGAAGGAUUUAUAAGUGAAUAUAAGAAAAAAUGACUAAAAUAGGUUACAUUGUUCAGAGUAGACUCACAAAAAUAAUUGCUGAUCUGACUUUCAUAGUUAUGUAACAGCAUUCUCCUACACAGCUAAAGACAAAUACAAACUCAUUUAAUUAUUUUACAAAUCCUUCAACAAAAGGAUUUUUCCCUAUUUUGAUGAAACCAAAAUGGUAGCUAAUAUAGAAAAUCAAUCCUUAUAUUGCAACUGAAAAACAGAAGUUUUACAUUUAUUUCGAGGUGUAACAGUAACAUACAGUCAAAACAGGAUAAUAGCAAUUCUGCUUACAAAAAUUAAAUAUCCUAUAUUUAGAGGGAUAAAGACUCCAAACCACAUUCUGUUAAAUGAAAAUAAAAUAGUGUCAUAAAGUUAUUACCUUCUCACCACAGUGUCUCUUUCAUUAAUACUCUCAGUCCUGACUACAAAAGACCCUAACACACAAAAACAUUAAUUGCUAAAAGUUCUUUCUCGGCAUUACAAUAUAAAAUUUGUAAUCGCAAAACACAAUUUCUCUUUGUAACAUUCUCUUUAAAGAACUCUAAUAAUUGCCCCUAAAUUUUACUUAUUUAGGUAUGAAGUCAUGUUGUUAGUGUUAGUUGCUAUAUGACAUAUAUGGUUGUUGGUAAGACAACAGGUGAAAAAAAUCCUUAAAAGAUUAUAUAAGAGUAGAACUAGCCAUGGAAAUAUGGUAAAAGAUAAAAAAAAAAAAAAGGGAAAGGAAAGAAGCUCCUAUUUAUAUUAAGGCAAAAGGAACAAAAUCUAUUUUUACUCUUAAAAUAUAUUCUAUGGAACAUCAAUGAAGAACCACUCUAUAUCCCAUGCACCCUCUGAAUGUUCUAUGGAUUAAACCCAUUAUAGUAUGUUCAGUAUGUACUAUAUAAAAAAAUUUUUAUAGGAAGUUACAUCCAAAUUAUUGAAUAAUAUAUUGCUUUUCUGUCUACUGAAAAUAUCAGGUAAUAUCCAAUUACAAAUAUUAGCUGACAAGGGUUUCAGAGCAAUUGUGUUGGUACUGCAAAAUCAACAAUCUGCAAAUUUGUAACAAUAUUUUUAACAUAUUUAGAAAAUAUAAUCUCAAUAAAUUUCAGUAGCCAUUUAUGUAAAUAUUUUAUAAUGUUUACCAUAUAUAUUUAAAUUAUGUCAUUUUUGAGUUGUCUAUUGUUUUUCAGUAUGAGUCUGAUACUGUCCCCAAAGAUCAUGAAUAAUUUCUAUUAUCAAGUACUGGAGACUGAAUCCAGGUGGAAUUUCAAGUUAGAAGACAUGUUUUUUCUAAUACUUUGUCACUAUCUCAUCUCAAAUCAUAAUACAUUACUUCGCUCUUUCUCUUGUCAUAUUCAAGUAAGUAGGGUUGGGUAUUGUUCCAUGUAGUACAGCAUGGUCUGCUCUUUUACCUUCCUCUAUUUCUUGAACAGACUGGCUUGUCAUCUUACUUUUCAGAAGUGCAUACAUAUGAAUUAGAAGUACAACUGUUUGACUGUUUUAUUAUGUAUUAUAAAUUAGCCAUCCCGGAACAUGUGCAUGUUGAAAUACUUGUUAAAGAGCCACAAUAUUUUAACAAGUAUCCUUGCAAUAAGAAUUCAGAAUUGUUUUUGUAUUUCAAAGUAUAUUAAGUAACACCACCAAGAGGGUCUGAAGCAGCAAUCUAUGAUCAAACAUACUAAUAUUUUUUCAACAAAACAAAUCAAUUCACCAAAUGCAUGAAGACAAUAAUUAGCUUCUUAUCAAUUAAGAUCAAGUUUUGCUGCUAAAUAAAUUUAUGCCUAACUUAGGAAAAAUGUUUGGUUUUAAGGUUCUUAUGUUUCAGAAACAAAAUAAAUGACUGUGGAUUUUUAAUUACUUUCAUUUUAUUUCUAUUUUAUAUUACAUUCAUAUUUUUCCUUAAACAUUAUAUAAACUGCAGAUUACCUUCAUUGUGAACUUUAUUUUUAGAUAGUAAGGAGGUAUGACCAAGAAUUGGAUCUACAAAGAAGUGUUGAGCUAAAAGAGUUGAAAACUAGUAAAACUGGAUUUAGCAACUAGAAAUAUUAAAAGUCUUUGUAAGUAAUAUAAUCUAACCUUCCCCAAGCAGAAAAGGUUUCCUUAAAUAUUGUAUAGUUAUAGAAGUCCUCUAUUAGGAGAAUUUCAGGAAAAAAAAUUUAUUCCUGAGGUCUCUGCUGUUCACUAAUGCAACCCUGUGCUCCCAUUUUCACAGUUCAAAUUAUCAGAAAAAUCUUACACUCUCUUCUUAUACCUCUCCAAAAUUUGAUUAGAACUAGUUCUGCCCUCUAGAAUUGUGCUAAACAAAUCUAGUACUUAUUCCAUAUGCUAGCCUUUUAAAUAUAUGAACACUGUUACUACAUCUCCUCAAUAUCUUCUUAUACUAGGCCAAAUAUACCUUACACAUUGAUCAUUAACAUUUCAUGAUCUGCAUACUGUUCAUCACUCUCAUCUUUUCUGGGCAAACUAAUCUGCCAAUGUGCUUCAGUGAAACAUGAUAACUAUAAUUAACUGGUUUUGCCAGAGCAGCAUAUAGCAUAUUGCUCCUACCUUUCCUGGUGUAGAAUUGAAAUUAUACUUGCAUUAAUGAAAUCUAACUUGUUUUGCAUGAAGCUUAAACAAGGAAACAAUCUUACAAAAACUAUCUAAAUUUAAACUACAAUCUCACAUAAAAAUGAAAUCAGAAAUAGAGUAAACUUCAGGGAUGGGGUGAUUUGGUAAUACAAUGAAAUCAUUACAGACUGAAGUUUCUUUUUUUCCUUUCUCACAGUUCUGCUAUUCCUAGUAUAGACCUCACAUUAAGGCAUAUUUCUUUUACCAUAAUAGGAAGCAAUGUAGGUUCUGCCAAUAAGCCUCUCCCCUUAUCACAAAAUAAGGCAAAGCAACGGAGACAGUGAGUAAAAGGAUCAGUAGUUGCCAGCAGUUAAGGGCAGAGAGAAAUGAAUUUUUAAGGCAAUAAAACUACUCUGUAUGUGUUAUCACAGAGGAUACAUGUCAUUAUACAUUUGUUCAAUCCCACAGAAUGUAUAAAACCAAGAGUGAACCCUAAUGUAGACUAUGGACUUUGAGUGAUAAUGAUGUAUUGUUAUAGGUGCAUCAAUUUUAAGAAAUGUACCACUUUGGUUGGGGAUGCUGAUGAGGGAGGUUGUGAAUCUAUGGGGCAGAAGGAUACAGGACAUCUCUGUACCUUCUGCUCAAUUUUGCAAUGAACCUGAAACUCUAAAAAAUAAAGUAUUCAAAUUACAAAAAAGAAAAGACAAAAUGAGAAAAUUAUCUGCACCUGAUAUCAUAAACAAAAGGUCAUUGUCCUUAAAAUACAGA